UCCGGCAUAGCUCAGCGGUAGAGUAGAUGACUGUUAAUCAUUUGGUCCCUGGUUCGAACCCAGGUGCCGGA
rnacentral:tRNA from 1 species